UGACUGAUCUCAUGGCAGACUGGGCUUCUCAUCAGGCCCCGCCCUUCCUAACAAAGUCUCACUCCACACCUCUGCCUGGCCUGAAAAUUGACAUUCCCCUGUCUUCAUCUCCUGAGGCCAACAUGAAAGGUAUGCAUCACUACGCCUAGUGCUUGUUACUAGACAACCAAGUGAGAAAGCAGGCUGAGCAAGUCCUGUGGAGAAAGCUACUAAGCAGAGCCCCUCCUUGGCCUCUGCAUCAGCUCCUGCCUCCAGGUUCCUGCCCUGCUGGAUGUCGGCCUUGGCUUCCCUCGGUGGACUAAGACAGAUUUCAAGAAAACAAGAGAAGAAAAUAUAUUAGUAAGGGAUACAGCCAAGCAAUGGAAGAACUCAAAGAGAAGGUGUCUACUUGAAAACACCCUACAAAAGCAGUCUUGCUGACUCAGGUUGACCUGGAUUUCAGAAUUACUGAUCCUCCAUUAAACAUCAUAGUUAGUCAGGAGAAGAUUGUAGCCUUACUAUGGGCACGUGUCCAUCCAUCAAGCCUUACAAUAUAGGUGCAGAUGCUCUACAGUUUGUUUCUUUGCUAUUUUUGAGCAAGUUAGUUAACUGUGUAUAUAUGGCAAGUGAACUUACUAUGUAUGGAAUAUUUUAUGUCCAUUGCUUAACACAGAACCUGUCCAAAUUAAGUGGGGGUGUGUUUUGACUACAGUGAGGCUCAGUACUGGUCAUAAACCUUCCAAAGGGCUUUCGUUAAAAACACCAUUUGAUAUUGAUGUGUGUCUGUCUUCCUGUCUGUCUGUCUUCCUGUCUGUCUUCCUGUCUGUCUGUCUGUCUGUCUGUCUGUGUGUUUGUCUCUAUGUUGGUCUGUAUGUAUGUGUCUGUCUGUUCUCCAAGAAGUUCUCUCUUUUUAUCCUACAAAAUUCUCUGGAUAACCCAUUUUCUACAGAUCACAGGUCCAGUCUUUUAUUUUACAUUUCAAUCUAGUCAUUUGCUCCAGGUUUUCCUUUUGAUUAUUUUAUGAAUCAGCAUCCCUGGACCUCAGUGCUUUGAUUUUUAAGUAAGAGCAAGUAUACAUAUUUUAACAUUGCAAACUUUUUAACUUUGCAAAAGAAUUCAGAGAUCCGUCUGCCUUUGUUAAGCACAGAUGCUGGUGAAACCUGCCCUGAAAUUACCAUCUCUAACACACCUGGACCUAACCUUGUUGUAUCCCAUGCUGACCUUGAACUGAGGAAUCUGCCUGCCUUUAUAUCUUUCUGAGAAGCUGGCUCAUCAAUGUAGUUGCCUUUGUUCCUUUAGAAUUAUGAAGCCCCUCAUAAUCCAUAUUGCAUCCUUAUAUUUUGCAUAGUUGAGAAAUUAUAUAUUUUUAACUCGUGUAUUUAGAGCUCUUUUCUAAAGCCUCAAGGGCUGUUCUGAAGGCCCCAGCCUUUACUAUUCUGCUGAGGUGAGGUAUUAGCCACACCUUUGCCUCCUGACUCAUGCUGUCUUAGAUUAUCAUGGAGCCAUUAACAUUGACAGAAAGGACCUUCCUAGGAGGAAUGUGAAAAUGCGUACAUUAUUACACAAACAAGCCUUACGCCCAAGGCAGCCAUCAACACUCGUGUAGACUCCCACCAGGACCCUGUCCCAGGGCAGGAACCAUGUCACCCUGUCUCCACCAAGGCCAUACCAGGCUCAGCAGGAAAUCAUUGCCAAAAAAAAUGAUGCACUUUUGUCUCCAUAUUUUCACGAAAAGUUUGCAUUUUUCCUAAGUUAUAAAAACAUUGAGAGAAAAAAAUUUUAAGUUAUACAUCUAAUGAGGGAAUGAUAGUCAAAAUAUGUCAGGAACUCAAGCAGCUCAGUGGAGAGGAUGGUGACUGAUCUUUACCAUCAUGACACUGAGAAGCAUCUAGGAGGUUGAUGAAGCACAGCUCUGGGUGAGAGUGGGUCCAGAGACGUUUACUCAAGGGGAUGAACCCACCCCAGAUAUGGACAACACUAUCCCAUAGGUAGGGAACAUUGAGAGACUGGGGAUGGGGGGACUAAGAGAGACUUCUCACAUAGGCAUCCCACUCAGCUUCCUGGCCACCAUGAUAUGAACUGCUUCACGCCUCGGUACACUCCUCACCAUUAUGAAUUCAAAUUCCUGCAAUCCAAAAUUAUGCUAUCUCAGAUACAUUUUUCAGUGAUAAAAAUACUAACUCAGCAAGAAAACGAAUAACCUGAUUUAAAAGACAAAAGUGAUCAUUUAUGGUUUAAAUAUGAAAUGUCCUCAUAGGCCGUUUGAACACUUGUUCUCCAAACUGGUGCCGCUGCUUUGGGAGGUCAUGCAAACCCUACACAGUAAGGACUGACUAGCGGAGAUAAGUCACAGGACGCAGGCGUUGGGGUUACUGUCAAGCCCUGUUGCCAAUUCUUUCUCUGCUGCUUUUCCCACCAUGUAGCUCCCCCUCAGACAUAGUCACACUACCAUCCUCCCACCAGGAUGGACCGGAACUAUGAACAAAGGUAACUGUUAUUUCUGUUGGGGUCUUUGUUCUUGUGGGGAGAAAUUAGCUAAUAUAGAAAAUUGUCAUCGAGAAUAAGGUUGUUCCUAUGACAAGUUUGAUCAUGUGGUUCUUAGGCCUUUAAAACUGGUUUGUGGGAAGAAUGUGGAUGAGUUGAAGGCCACGGACUUGAAAAACAGCAUAGGAUCCUAUAAGCAGAAUUCUGUUUACAAGUCUGCUCAAAGUUUGGAAGACAGACAGGUUGUGCAACCUGAACUCAUGAGGUUUCAGAGAAGAAUAAGGACUCUAUUAGGAACAGGAUUAGAGAUUUAGUCAUGUUACACUCUGGCAAAGAAUCUGGACAUGUUUGCCCAUGUUCUAAAAGUGUAAAUGAGGCUGAAUAUAACAGUAAUGUGCUCAUUUAUGUAGUAGUUAGAGUUUCUAUUGCUGCAAUGAAACACUGUGACUGAAAGCAAGCUGGGGAGGAAAGGGUUUAUUCAGCUUACAUCUCCACAUCGUAGUCCCUCACCACCAAAGGAAGUCAAGACAGGAACUGAAACAGAGCUGGAACCUAGGACAGGAGCUAAUGCAGAGGCCACGAAGGGGUGCUACUUACUGGCUUGCUCCCCCAUGGCUUGCUCAGCCUGCUUUCAUACAGAAUCCAGGACUAGAAGCCUAGGGAAGCCACCACCCACCAUGAGUAGGGCUAUUCUACAUCGGUUGCUAACUAAGGAGAUAGGUGCCUUACAGAUGGAUUUAAUGGAGACAUUUUCACAACUGAGGCUCCCUCCUCUCUGAUGACUCUAGCUUAUGUCAAGGUGACAUAAAACCAGGGCAACCCAUUUGGGGGAGGAAAGUUCAAACAUAGUAACAUCCACUUAUGGCAUGGCUGUGGGUCACUGCUUUUAGCCAUAUUUACAUUGAGAAAUAGGGAUGAGGUGGAUCCAAAGAACUGACCUGAGACACCUUUUUCAUGCUCACCAACUCCUUUAUGUUUUAGAAAACCUGCCCCUAACCCUCCAGUCAACAAGUGCACUCUCCCUGAUUCAAUCAUAUACUAUUAUAUAUUGAUUAUAGAGUAUUCAUCAAAAGACACUGAAGGGCUGGUUCUUGAUGCAGUGCUUAGAGGUGGGUGUUUUGGCAAAUGAUUGGAUCAUAAGAUCUCUUACUUCUUCAAUAGAUUAUUCCAGCUGUUGAUUCAAAAUUCAAAUCGAUUGUUGGAAAGUGGUGGAUACUAUAGAGGGCAAAGCACAAACUGGAAAAAUCUGGCUAGUGGGAGUGUUCUAUGAGAAAUUAUACUGUGUCUCCAGGACUUUCCUGUCACUCUCUGCUUCUUGGCUGCUGUGAGGGAAGCUGUUUACUCCACCACACGCUCCCCACCAUGCUGUUCUGCUUCUCCACAGCCUAGAUAAGAUUGUUCUGAGAGACCUGAAAAUGCAAGCGAGUUAAUAUUUCCUUCUUUUAAAUAGUUACGUUAGAUAUUUAUCAUAACAGUAGAAAGUCUGAUAAAAAUAUACAGUCUGUCCUUGUCACAAACUGUCAAGAAUUUUCUUAUUUAUUUGUUGCCUCAUUGGUUAGCUGUCUUCAGAGCAUCAAAAAUAAUGAAGAAUCACAGUUAUCUAAUAUACAGAACUUAGAAUAGUUUCAGGAAUGCAGUCAGUGUCUGAUAAACUUCAGUUGAACGGAUGGAUGUAUUGGAUGAAUGGAUGGAUGGAUGGAUGGAUGGAUGGAACAUUCCUUUUCUGUUUCCUUAAACUAAUAAAAUCCUUUCAGUUUUUUAUUACCUGGGCAUAAAAUAUAAACUACCUAGAGAGAAGUCUUAGCUAUCUCUCAGGGAGGGAUGUGUGUCAAAAGUUCAGGGGAGGUUUGGUAAAGAAUCAAAUAGAAAAUAAUUCUGAGCCCAGUUUUUAAAAGAAUUCUCCAUACACAGGGCUAUAGAGAUGGCUUAGUCGUUAAGAACAUUGGCUGUUCUUAUAGAGGCCCAGGGUUUGAUUCAAGUACCCAUACAGUGGCUAACAACCAUCUGUAAUUUUAGUUCUAGAAGUUCCAAUACCCUCUUCUGACUUCUGUGGGUAUAGCAAACAUGGUACACAGACAUUCAUUCAGGCAAAAACACCCAUAAACAUAAAUUUAAAAAAAAUUUAGAAACAGAGUUCUCUGCCCAUUGACUCUGGUACAUGAUAUUUUCCAAAAAUGGCCACAAAAAAAAAUUUCUCCUAUUUUACAUCCUCUUCUUACAAAGUGAGUUUGAGACUCCUCCUGACAAGUAGGGCUACACAUACACUCUUGACUCUAUACCCUUCUACAACUUAAUUCUUACAAGGUCUCCUCCAACAACAAAAUGCAAACAUGAACAAAACAAAUCUAUAUUGUGAAAGUUAAAGCCUCUUGGGUUCUUCAUUCUCGGAACCCAAUUACCAUCCAUGAAAAUGCAGAGCAGCUGCACAUAGAAGCCAUGUUUAGAUGCUCUCCUCUGGGGUCUAGAUAAAAGCCAGGAAUGACAUCAGGCACUAAGUAAGAAUGCUUUCUAGAUGAAUCCAGCCCCCCCAGCACCCACUGGACCCAUGAGAUGCCCUUAUCAUGAGACAGAGAUAAACUAUGCUCAGAUCUCUUCUAUCCAAACACCUGACACAUAAAAUCCAUGAACACAAUAAAAUCACUUUCAGAGGCAUUUGUUAAAACAAUAGAACUACCUACCUUCUCUGUUGUCAUAACAGAUCUCUAUCCUCUGUCCCGACUGUCUGGAUAAGUGGCAGUGAUGAUGGAGGUUAGAAAACGUGUGAGCGAGGGUGUGAUUGAUAAUGAGCACUGACUGGUGCUCCAGUAUGAUCCAUGACUCAUGAGAGCCAAUUGUUUCCAUUUUCCACUGAUCAUUGUGAGAAAAUCUACAUCAGGGAAGGUGGCCAACAGUUUAAAUCUUAGUGGGCUCUUCCUGCUAAGAAAUGGCUUACCAGUAUCUGGAAUUGACCAAAACCAAAGCUGUCGAGUGUGGUGAUUUGAGAGAAAAUGACCCCCAUCGGUUCAUAUGUUUGAACACUUGAUCCCCAGUUGUUUAAAUGCUUAAAAAUAUUAGGGGUUGUGGUCUUGUUGGAACAGGUGAGGCCUUCUUGGAGUAGGUGUGGCCUUGCUGGAUGAAGGGGACUUUAAGGUUUCAAAGGCCAACACCAGGUCCAGUGUCUUGCAUUCUGCCUACUGCCUGCAGAUCAGGAUGUAAAGCUCUCAGCAACUGCUCUAGCAGCAUGCCUGCUUGCUUCCCUCCAUGAUGAUGAGGAACGAACCCUCUGAUGCAGUAAGCAAACCUCCAAUUAAAUGAUUUCUUUUAUAA